rnacentral:lncRNA from 1 species
UACAGUCACCCUGUCUGGUGGUGACAUGUUAUCGUACCACGAUCGCAUACCCAAUGCCACCACUGAUGGUGGGGUAUGAUCUAUACGGCUAACUGCCGAAGAAGACAUCUAUGCGGGCCAUGUCAUAAGACCAUCCAGGGGUCAAUGCCGAAUAUCUCUGGACAUACAUUUGCGUAACAUGAUACAUGCAUAACAGAUAAUGGAUGGCAAUAUGAUAUAGGGAAUGAAAA